AACGCGUAUAGAAUCUGCCUUGUACUGGGGAAUAGCCCAGAGAAAUUUGGAUUAAUGCCCCAUGGUAUGUAAUUGUGGCAUCACUAUUACAUUAAAGGUUACGGUACAAGAUGACUAUGCGUCCCAUUAGUUAGUUGGUAAGGUAACGGCUUACCAAGGCAGCGAUGGGUAGGGGCCCUGAGAGGGGGAUCCCCCACACUGGUACUGAGACACGGACCAGACUCCUACGGGAGGCAGCAGUGAGGAAUAUUGGACAAUGGGCGGGAGCCUGAUCCAGCCAUGCCGCGUGCAGGAAGACGGUCCUAUGGAUUGUAAACUGCUUUUGUACGGGAAGAAUAAGGGCUACGUGUAGCCUGUUGACGGUACCGUAAGAAUAAGGAUCGGCUAACUCCGUGCCAGCAGCCGCGGUAAUACGGAGGAUCCGAGCGUUAUCCGGAAUCAUUGGGUUUAAAGGGUCCGUAGGCGGGCCAUUAAGUCAGGGGUGAAAGUCUGCGGCUCAACCGUAGAAUUGCCCUUGAUACUGGUGGUCUUGAGUUAUGGUGAAGUGGCCGGAAUAUGUAGUGUAGCGGUGAAAUGCAUAGAUAUUACAUAGAACACCGAUUGCGAAGGCAGGUCACUAACCAUAUACUGACGCUGAUGGACGAAAGCGUGGGGAGCGAACAGGAUUAGAUACCCUGGUAGUCCACGCCGUAAACGAUGGAUACUAGCUGUCCGGGCGCAAGCCUGGGCGGCCAAGCGAAAGUGAUAAGUAUCCCACCUGGGGAGUACGUCCGCAAGGAUGAAA
rnacentral:rRNA from 1 species